GUGGGGAAUAUUGGACAAUGGGGGGAACCCUGAUCCAGCCAUGCCGCGUGUGUGAAGAAGGCCUUUUGGUUGUAAAGCACUUUAAGCGAGGAGGAGGCUACCGAGAUUAAUACUCUUGGAUAGUGGAAGUUACUCGCAGAAUAAGCACCGGCUAACUCUGUGCCAGCAGCCGCGGUAAUACAGAGGGUGCGAGCGUUAAUCGGAUUUACUGGGCGUAAAGCGUGCGUAGGCGGCUUUUUAAGUCGGAUGUGAAAUCCCUGAGCUUAACUUAGGAAUUGCAUUCGAUACUGGAAAGCUAGAGUAUGGGAGAGGAUGGUAGAAUUCCAGGUGUAGCGGUGAAAUGCGUAGAGAUCAGGAGGAAUACCGAUGGCGAAGGCAGCCAUCUGGCCUAAUACUGACGCUGAGGUACGAAAGCAUGGGGAGCAAACAGGAUUAGAUACCCUUGUAGUCC
rnacentral:rRNA from 1 species